rnacentral:rRNA from 1 species
AUACGGAGGGUGCAAGCGUUACUCGGAAUCACUGGGCGUAAAGCGCGCGCAGGCGGUUUGAUAAGUUGGAUGUGAAAUCCUAUGGCUCAAUCAUAGAACUGCAUCCAAAACUGUCAAACUAGAGUCUGGGAGAGGAAGAUGGAAUUAGUUGUGUAGGGGUAAAAUCCGUAGAGAUAACUAGGAAUACCAAAAGCGAAGGCGAUCUUCUGGAACAGUACUGACGCUGAGGCGCGAAAGCGUGGGGAGCAAACAGGAUUAGAAACCCCAGUAGUCC